CAUGGCUGUCGUCAGCUCGUGUCGUGAGAUGUUCGGUUAAGUCCGCUAACGAGCGCAACCCUCGUCGUGUGUUAUACGUGUCACACGAUACUGCCGGUAUCAAGCCGGAGGAAGGUGGGGAUGAUGUCAAGUCAGCAUGGCCUUUAUAUCCUGGGCUACACACACGCUACAAUGGCAGAUACAAUAGGUUGCGAAACCGCGAGGUGGAGCCAAUCCUCAAAGUCUGUCUCAGUUCAGAUUGUAGGCUGCAACUCGCCUGCAUGAAGUUGGAGUUGCUAGUAACCGCAGGUCAGCAAUACUGCGGUGAAUACGUUCCCGGGUCUU
rnacentral:rRNA from 1 species